rnacentral:rRNA from 1 species
ACCCGCACAAGCGGUGGAUGAUGUGGUUUAAUUCGAUGCAACGCGAAAACCUUACCCACCUUUGACAUGGCAGGAAUCCCGAAGAGAUUUGGGAGUGCUCGAAAGAGAACCUGCACACAGGUGCCGCAUGGCUGUCGUCAGCUCGUGUCGUGAGAUGUUGGGUUAAGUCCCGCAACGAGCGCAACCCUUGCCAUUAGUUGCUACGAAAGGGCACUCUAAUGGGACUGCCGGUGACAAACCGGAGGAAGGUGGGGAUGACGUCAAGUCCUCAUGGCCCUUAUAGGUGGGGCUACACACGUCAUACAAUGGCCGGUACAGAGGGUAGCCAACCCGCGAGGGGGAGCCAAUCCCACAAAGCCGGUCGUAGUCCGGAUCGCAGUCUGCAACUCGACUGCGUGAAGUCGGAAUCGCUAGUAAUCGCGGAUCAGCAUGUCGCGGUGAAUACGUUCCCGGGUCUU